rnacentral:tRNA from 1 species
GCCUGGGUGGCUCAGUCGGUUAAGCAUCUGACUUCAGCUCAGGUCAUGAUCUCGCGGUCUGUGAGUUCGAGCCCCGCGUCAGGCU